rnacentral:sRNA from 1 species
CAACAAACAGUAAAUGCAAAAAACAAUCCACCCAAUGCCAUGUAGGUAUAAUCCAACAUGAGACAACUUGCAAUCCAUUCUCGUUCCUUGUUACACACGGUUUCGGAUGCACGCGUGCUUCCAAUGGCUUGCCAAACAACAAAGAAACAAAAAAUUAAAAUAUAAACAGCCAUCCAUCCAUCACGACAAAGCAUGUAUCGA